GAAGCUGGCCGGGCAGUCGCCGGCGGGAAUGAUCCCGCGGGAGGAAAGUCCGGGCUCCAUAGGGCAGGAUGCCGGCUAACGGCCGGACGCCGUGAGGCGAUGGAAAGUGGCACAGAAAAUAUACCGCCGAUGGCCCGCUCGCCGGACUUCGCCGCCGCAAGGCGGCAAAGUCUCGUAGUAGGAGGGUAGGGGCGAAAGCCCCGGCGCUUCUUGCGAGCGGGAUCAGGUAAGGGUGAAAUGGUGCGCGCGCCGAGAGGUGCGCGGUCUCCCGGCUUGCCGGGAAGCCGGUAAGAGCGCACCGCGGGCGUGGCAACACGGUCGGCAGGCUAAACCCCAUCCGGAGCAAGACCGAAUAGGCAAGCGCUGACGCGGCCCGUCGAGCUUGCGGGUAGGUCGCUUGAGCCUUGGGGCGACCCAGGGCCUAGAGGAAUGACUGUCGCAGGGGGCAACCCUUGACAGAACCCGGCUUACAGGCCAGCUUCGCCC
rfam:Betaproteobacteria bacterium RIFCSPLOWO2_12_FTLL_65_110 rifcsplowo2_12_scaffold_36547, whole genome shotgun sequence.